GUCAACUCUAACAGCAGCUGCUCUGGCAGAGUGGAGAUCUUCCACAACGGCAAUUGGGGGACGGUGUGUGACAACAUUUGGGAUGUGAAUGACGCUCAGGUGGUGUGUCAACAGCUGGGCUGUGGCAAGGCUUUGUCGGCACCAAGAAGGGCACAUUUUGGACAAGGAAGUGGACCAAUCUGGCUGGAUGACCUUCAGUGUCUGGGAACUGAGUCAUCACUAAAAGACUGUACACACAGAGGAUUAGGAACUCACAACUGUGGUCAUUCUGAGGAUGCUGGUGUCAUCUGUGAAGAUUUGACUACAGUGAGACUGGUCAACUCUAAAAGGAGCUGCUCUGGCAGAGUGGAGAUCUUCCACAACGGCAAUUGGGGGACGGUGUGCGACGACGUUUGGGAUUUGAAUGACGCUCGGGUGGUGUGUCACCAGCUGGGCUGUGGCAGGGCUCUGUCGGCACCAAGAAGGGCACAUUUUGGACAAGGCAGUGGACCAAUCUGGCUGGAUGACCUUCGGUGUUCAGGAACUGAGUCAUCACUAACAGACUGUACACACAGAGGAUUAGGAACCCACAACUGUGGUCAUUCUGAGGAUGCUGGUGUCAUCUGUGAAGGUUUGCAGUAGGACAUCUGUUAACACCGACCAUUGGACCAAAAACCUGCGAGGACUGACCGAAUGCUGUCUAUGUAUUUCAAUAUAUACAAAAUGACAUCAAGAGUAUACAACAUUAAAAUCAAUAUUCACACUCUAA